GCCCUAAGUCCUUAUCCGCCGAUCACCUCCUCCUCUCCCUCUUAUGAGCCGAACUCUUUUCCCCGAGUCCUCACCUCGCGAUCCGCCGCACCACCGCCGGUCGCGAUGACCCGCAUAGCCGGCGACUUCUUCUCCCUCGAGCUAUAGUCGCUGGCUCUUCUUCUCGCAAGGGCACCACACGGCUAGCCUUUCCUCCCUCACGCGAGCACCGGAGACAUGCCACGGUACCUGAUCGCACGGCGUUGCUCAGGCCGCCGCUCGCCGGAGCUUGCUAUUCCUCAGCCUCUCAUCUACAGCUCCGUUAGGUACACACCUUCUCAGAUCUUUGCUCCGCACAGCCCGAUCUUCAGCGAAAGGGUGGAGAAUCCGAGCCCUUGCUUUGCUGGAUUUGGAGCGCUGGAAUCGGUGGUGAUCGGCAAUUUGGGAGGUGACUUCUCGUCUUCCCGAGUCCUGAAGCUGAGCAUACCUCUUCGCCAUUUUUGGGGGUUUCCGAUACUGUAUUAGGUUAAGUGGCUCACUGUGAGGAGCUCGGCUACAACUCCCAGCAGUUAUUCUUCAUCCGGGAAGCAUUAGCAACGACAUUCUUCAGUAGCGAAUCAUCAGUUGGGGCAUCCGGAUUUGGAGGUAAGGUUGUUGAGUCUAAGUUUUAAAUUGGAUUACACGAUUCCUUAUAGAUUCUGAUAUCAUAUUGUAUAGGUUUGGAAUUUAUGGAUUAAGUGAGGCAGAUGAAUUAUGUAAGAUUGGUUUUGGAUGUUUAGUAGAGAUGAUAAAAAUGGAUUAUAUUAGUUGAGAUUGUGUUUGGGUUAUCAUAUUAGUGGUUCAUUAUGCUUGUAGUUGAUACAAUGGAGUGAAUGAUGAGCUAAUGGAUUUUAGAAUGGUAAAUGGAGUUAGCAAAGUAGGUUAUUGUAGUUUGAUUUUGAUAUGAAGUGGAUUUGUAAUUAAGAAGGUUGGAAAUGAAUUAAGUGAUUCCUGAUGCUAGGUUGGGUUAUAAAUGUGUUACUAUAUACGAAUUUUUAUUGGAAGAUGAAACAAUCAGUUGAUUGAGGAU